UGCCAGCCGCCGCGGUAAUACGGAGGGUGCAAGCGUUGUUCGGAAUCACUGGGCGUAAAGCGUGUGUAGGCGGCGCAGUAAGUCAGAUGUGAAAGCCCUCGGCUCAACCGAGGAAGUGCAUCUGAUACUGCUGUGCUUGAAUCUCGGAGGGGGUGGCGGAAUUCCUGGUGUAGAGGUGAAAUUCGUAGAUAUCAGGAGGAACACCCGUGGCGAAGGCGGCCACCUGGACGAGUAUUGACGCUGAGACACGAAAGCGUGGGUAGCAAACAGGAUUAGAUA
rnacentral:rRNA from 1 species